AGAGUUUGAUCAUGGCUCAGAUUGAACGCUGGCGGCAGGCCUAACACAUGCAAGUCGAGCGGUAGCACAGAGAGCUUGCUCUCGGGUGACGAGCGGCGGACGGGUGAGUAAUGUCUGGGAAACUGCCUGAUGGAGGGGGAUAACUACUGGAAACGGUAGCUAAUACCGCAUAACGUCGCAAGACCAAAGUGGGGGACCUUCGGGCCUCAUGCCAUCAGAUGUGCCCAGAUGGGAUUAGCUAGUAGGUGGGGUAACGGCUCACCUAGGCGACGAUCCUUAGCUGGUCUGAGAGGAUGACCAGCCACACUGGAACUGAGACACGGUCCAGACUCCUACGGGAGGCAGCAGUGGGGAAUAUUGCACAAUGGGCGCAAGCCUGAUGCAGCCAUGCCGCGUGUGUGAAGAAGGCCUUCGGGUUGUAAAGCACUUUCAGCGGGGAGGAAGGCGAUAAGGUUAAUAACCUCAUCGAUUGACGUUACCCGCAGAAGAAGCACCGGCUAACUCCGUGCCAGCAGCCGCGGUAAUACGGAGGGUGCAAGCGUUAAUCGGAAUUACUGGGCGUAAAGCGCACGCAGGCGGUCUGUCAAGUCGGAUGUGAAAUCCCCGGGCUCAACCUGGGAACUGCAUUCGAAACUGGCAGGCUAGAGUCUUGUAGAGGGGGGUAGAAUUCCAGGUGUAGCGGUGAAAUGCGUAGAGAUCUGGAGGAAUACCGGUGGCGAAGGCGGCCCCCUGGACAAAGACUGACGCUCAGGUGCGAAAGCGUGGGGAGCAAACAGGAUUAGAUACCCUGGUAGUCCACGCCGUAAACGAUGUCGAUUUGGAGGUUGUGCCCUUGAGGCGUGGCUUCCGGAGCUAACGCGUUAAAUCGACCGCCUGGGGAGUACGGCCGCAAGGUUAAAACUCAAAUGAAUUGACGGGGGCCCGCACAAGCGGUGGAGCAUGUGGUUUAAUUCGAUGCAACGCGAAGAACCUUACCUGGUCUUGACAUCCACAGAACUUAGCAGAGAUGCUUUGGUGCCUUCGGGAACUGUGAGACAGGUGCUGCAUGGCUGUCGUCAGCUCGUGUUGUGAAAUGUUGGGUUAAGUCCCGCAACGAGCGCAACCCUUAUCCUUUGUUGCCAGCGGUUAGGCCGGGAACUCAAAGGAGACUGCCAGUGAUAAACUGGAGGAAGGUGGGGAUGACGUCAAGUCAUCAUGGCCCUUACGACCAGGGCUACACACGUGCUACAAUGGCAUAUACAAAGAGAAGCGACCUCGCGAGAGCAAGCGGACCUCAUAAAGUAUGUCGUAGUCCGGAUUGGAGUCUGCAACUCGACUCCAUGAAGUCGGAAUCGCUAGUAAUCGUAGAUCAGAAUGCUACGGUGAAUACGUUCCCGGGCCUUGUACACACCGCCCGUCACACCAUGGGAGUGGGUUGCAAAAGAAGUAGGUAGCUUAACCUUCGGGAGGGCGCUUACCACUUUGUGAUUCAUGACUGGGGUGAAGUCGUAACAAGGUAACCGUAGGGGAACCUGCGGUUGGAUCACCU
rnacentral:rRNA from 1 species